AAGAACAAGAAGAACAAGGAUUCUGCUUUGGAUAUAUUACACAGAGACAUAUAGAGAGAGAGGUGUCUUGAUCUUGAAAAAAAAUGGCUUACGAGAAAGUCAAUGAGCUUAACCUUAAGGACACAGAGCUUCGUCUUGGAUUACCCGGAACGGAGCAAGAUAAGGAAGAACAAGAGGUUUCUUGCGUUAGAAGCAACAAGCGUCAACUACAGAGCGAUAACGAGGAAGAAUCUACACUUCCUACGAAGUAAGUGAAGAUUUGAGUUUCAAUCUAUUGUUUAAAAUUAUCUAUGAAUUAUUGUACUGAAUCAUCAUUUUUUUAAUCUCCUUUCUUUGGUCCUUUAUAAUAAUAGUAUAUCCUUUGUAAAAGAAGUGUAAAGACAUCGACGGCAAAGAGGUAGCGUAAGCAAAGUUGGCGGAGGCAAAUAAGGAGCGUGGAAUAAAGAAAGAGUCGAGUCCACAUGGGCGGCCAUAGCGUUUGUGUCCCACCUUUGUCCCCUUGCCUCUUUCUUGCCUUUCAUGCUCCCGACAACAUCUCUCUCUCUUCCUUUAACCCUAACUUCUAUGCAUCUUCUCCCUCCUGUAUAUAUCUCUCUUUCUCUAAACCCAUCAUCAACCAAACUCACAAACAAGAACAAGAAGAACAAGGAUUCUGCUUUGGAUAUAUUACACAGAGACAUAUAGAGAGAGAGGUGUCUUGAUCUUGAAAAAAAAUGGCUUACGAGAAAGUCAAUGAGCUUAACCUUAAGGACACAGAGCUUCGUCUUGGAUUACCCGGAACGGAGCAAGAUAAGGAAGAACAAGAGGUUUCUUGCGUUAGAAGCAACAAGCGUCAACUACAGAGCGAUAACGAGGAAGAAUCUACACUUCCUACGAAGUAAGUGAAGAUUUGAGUUUCAAUCUAUUGUUUAAAAUUAUCUAUGAAUUAUUGUACUGAUGAUGAUUCUUUGCUAAUUUACAGAACUCAAAUCGUUGGUUGGCCUCCGGUGAGAUCUUACCGUAAAAACAACAACAGUGUGAGCUAUGUGAAAGUGAGUAUGGAUGGAGCUCCAUACCUUAGGAAAAUAGAUCUCAAGACAUACAAAAACUAUCCAGAGCUUCUCAAGGCAUUAGAGAACCUGUUCAAGUUCACGAUCGGUGAAUACAGCGAAAGAGAAGGAUACAAAGGAUCUGGAGUUGUACCAACGUACGAGGAUAAAGAUGGAGAUUGGAUGUUGGUUGGUGAUGUUCCAUGGGAUAUGUUCUCUUCCUCUUGUAAGAGACUCAGGAUCAUGAAAGGAUCUGAUGCUCUUGCUUUGGACUCGGCCUUAUGAUGAUGAUGAUGAUGAUGAUGAAAGCUUUUGAUGGAUGAAACCCUUUUUGAUUUGAUUCUGAUCGGAGUUUGAGUAGUUGACCACACCAAAAACAGAACAUGUCAGGGUUUUGUUCGAUGAGAUAGAUCCAUCUUCAAGGGGUUUUCUUUUUGUUUUGUUUGAUCCUUGUUUUUAGAUUUGCAGCUUGUUGUAAAGAUAGAUGAAAUUUUUGUACAAUACGGACAUAUACACAAUAUAGAUGCGUAUGUAGCAAUGUUUUGACGAAAAGAGUCUUUAAUUUCAUAGUGAUAUCUACAAUAAUUUACAAUAAAGAACCUCAUAGUAUUCUUUAGGAGAGGGCAAAAUAAGGGUUUGGAUUCGAUCAGGAAAUUUUGGAUAUUUGUAACUCCAACAAAAAAAAAUACUUACAUUUAAUUAUAGUUAAAAACUGAAAAAAUUAUAAUUACUAAAAUUUUAGAAGAUAUAUGUGUUUAUUAUAUUUAUAUGAAAGUUUGAUAUAUUUUCGCUAAAUUAUUUAUUUAUUUAUUUAUUAAAAAGUAAAAUUAAAUUACAUUUUAUUUCGUAAUGAACAUUAUUAUAAUAUGUCAAAUUUCGAAUUUUUUAAUAAAAAAUAUUUUUACAUUUAAAAAAGAUUAAUCAAGAAACAGGCCUGAUAAGAGUUUCCAAAGCCCAAUUGACUUGAGUCCAUUGAUUUUGGUUAUGUGCUAUGACGGGGCGAAUCUAGCCCAUUUAAAUUAUGGGUGCACUAUUGAUAGAAAAACAUAAAAAUACAUUAGACAAGGAUCGAACCUAAGAAACUGAGGGUGCACAUACUUCUUUUUACCAUAUAAGCUAACCAAAUUUUGAUGUUUCUACGUGUAAAAUACUAAAUUUUAAAAUAAUUGUGGGUGCACAUGUCCCCUCAUCCUUUAACUUGGCUUCGCCAGGUGUUUCCACCUUCGAUGAUCAGAUAAGUGGAGAAGGUGAAAUCUACAUAAAGCUUGAAUGAAUUGGUACAUUUGAUAUAGCAACGAAAUUAUACAUAGUAUUAAUUUAAUUUAUUUUACUUCGUAAGUCAAGCUAGGCAAGAUUGUUUUGCGUGAAAUUUCGACAGGAAGACACUUGUUUCCAGUUAAUUGGGAAAUAAUUAAUAACUAGAAUAAGACAUGCGCUAGUGCGCAUAAUGAUUUUGUUUGUAUAUAUUAUCGAUAAUUCUUUUUAUAUAUUUGUUUAUUUUGUUAAUGCAUAUACAAUAUUUUUUGCUAAUAUUAUAUAAUUUCUUUCUGAUAGAUCGGAUUAAUUUUUAUUAAAAGUUGUGGAACUAAAUUAUAAUUAAUAUAUCAUAGGUUGAUUGGAUUUAAACAAAUUGUGACACAAAAACCUUAUUUUUUUCACCGGACACAUUAUUGAAAAAAAUGAAUAGUAAUGUUUCCACAGUUGAAUUGUUUUGACAUUGAUCUUCCAUAUGGUUUUGACAUGUUUCAGAUCAACAAUCAAAUUAAUACAUGUCAUUUUAAUGAUUUUAGUCGUAUGGUUAAGUAAAACUUACAUUUUUGUAAUUUAAAUUUGUUUUAAAAAAAUUCAGAAUAUAACAUAUAAGAAAAAAUCUAACAUAUAAGAAAAAAUCUAACAUAUAAGAAAAAUAUAACAUAUAAGAUUUCCUCAUUUUUGUAAAUUAAAGUCGUUUUAAACAAAAAUUAAAUUAUAACAUAUAAGGUUUCCUCAUUUUUGUAAUUUAAAGUCAUUUUAAAAAUUUUAAAAUAUAACAUAUAAGUAAAAAAACUAGUUUUUUAAUUAUAUGGUUAAUGUGAUUAUUUUAAUUUUUUUAAUAAUAUAAAAUUUAAAAAAAAAUGAAGAAUGAUGCAAAAAUUGUUAUAAAUUUUUUAUUAUUCAUAGUCAUUAACUGUCAUAUAUAUGUUAAUACUAUUAGGUAAUUUCGUAGUUUUUAUUUAAAGAAAUAAUACAUGUUUCUUAUAUUUUGAGUUAAUAUAAUGUUUCUUAAUAACUGGAUUUGAACCAACAUUUUUUCAAUUAAUUCUUAAGCUGUCAUGUAAACUAAAUUGUCAUCCUAAUUAAGUGAUACCUAAACAGUGUCUCUUUUUAAUUAGUACAAACUUAAUGUUAUAAUUUUUUUAAUAGUCCUCAAUUAAUAUAUAGGGAUUCAUAUAAUCAUAUUUAACAUGUUUAAUGAGGGGUCGUACAUAUUUAUAAUAUAUUUUUUUUUUUAUUGCUAUCUUAGCUUAACUGGUCAUGCAUGUUUCGUAUGUUUUUGAUACUGCUAGUACAUUCAAGUCUAGUUUUGUAUAAUCUAAGUCUGUAAUCUAAUUUUCAACAGUGGUGAUAUAUAUAUUAAUGGGAAAAUUAGGGCACGAAUAAUUAAGAAUUGCAAUUCUAUACUAAGAAAAAUGAGUUGAAAACAUGUUUUGAAAGUUUAAUCCUGCGAGUUAAAACAUUUUGAGGCACCUUUUUCUUAAUAUUUGCAAAUCUAAUGUCUUAACUUUUUAUCAUAUUCAUUACUGCAUUUUGCCGCGUGCCAAUUAACAUAAGUGCACGCUACUACAAUCGAAUGGUAUAUCGAUGCAGUAUUGUAUGAUUGAAUCCAUAAAAAACUAGUGGUAUAUAACAAUAAGAAUACACAAACUUUUCUAAUCUAAGCAAAUAAGAAGAUGGAUGAUUUGUAACAAUCUAAGUAAUGACAGUAGUGAUCAUGGGCCUUUGGAGAAAGUGAAAGAGCAGUCUCAAGCCCACACGGUCACCACCAAAGUUCAGCCUAAUCCUCCUCUGUCGUCUAGUGUCAAACAGAAAGCAUUCAAGGUUCAAUCUUCUUGCUCCAGUACGACGAGGCCAGCUAAUGGCAUAACGGUUGGAAAUAGAUUUGAGUGUCUUGGUACACAGCCUGUCAUGUGCUGAGUCAGAGUAGAGGAUAAGAUCUUAUGUCUCUAUAUAAUGUAAAACGUGAACAUGUAAUCAGCAAGCAAGAAAGUAAUAAAAGUUAAAACGUUCUUCUUCACAAAACUCUAAGUUUUUUCAUGGUAUCAGAGCCAUGGAGGACUCUGACGCUAUUUCUACGCCAUCACUGAGUAUCUCUCAGUGUGUGACGUUAAAACUCACAUCUUCCAACUACUUGCUUUGGAAGACACAGUUCGAAUCCUUUCUUUACAGUCAAUCCUUGCUCGGUUUUCUCAAUGGAGGUUCUCUUCGCCCUGCUCCAACGGUAACGGUUCAAGAAGGAGAUGGAGUCACAGAGCAGCCUAAUCCUGAGUUUCAGAAGUGGAUGCGCAAAGACCAGCUUGUCAUGGCUUGGUUGUUCGGUUCUCUGUCUGAGGAUGCUCUCAGAUCUGUCUACGGUCUCACGUCAGCUCAGGAGGUCUGGUUCUGCCUUGGAAAGAAGUACAAUCGUGUCUCAGCUACAAGAAAACUAGAUCUCCAACGUAAGCUUCAAGGUAUGACUAAAAGCCAAAGAACCAUGACAGAGUAUCUAGGAGAGAUUAAGAGUAUCUGUGACCAGUUAGACUCUAUAGGGUGUAGCAUGACUGAGCAUGAGAUGAUAUAUGGUGCGUUGAGCGGUUUAGGGAAAGAGUAUGAAUCCAUAUGUACGGUUAUUGAGCAUUCUAUGGAUUCGGUUACUGAGAUGACGUUUGAAGAUGCUGUGUUCAAGCUCACUACCUUUGAUGAUAAGCUUCAGGUCUAUAACCAAAGUGCCACAGUUAAUCCUCAUCUUGCCUUUCAUGUUGGAAGGGGUUACUCUAACAACAGAGGCAGAGGAGGUUACACUAACAGAGGGGAUUAUAGAGGUGGUCGAAGCAACAACAACUACUCCACAAGGGGACGUGGCUUUCAACAGCAGUUCUCAAGUGGUAAUGGUCGUGACAAUGUUAGCUCAGGGUCCGGUUCCAACAACAGACCUACCUGCCAAAUCUGUGGGCGGUAUGGUCAUUCAGCUGCGAGAUGCUACAAUCGCUAUGAUCAAGAGUCUCAGUCUUCAGAUAACCUACCCAAUGCGCUCACCACAAUGAGACUUUCUGAUCAAGAACACAGUACCGGUCAAGAAUGGUAUCCAGAUUCUGCUGCGUCUGCCCACAUUACAAGCAACCAGUCUCAGUUAACGUCAGCAGAACCCUAUCUUGGGAAUGAUCAAGUGAUCGUUGGGAAUGGAGAUUACCUGCCAAUCACGCAUGUUGGAUCUGUCGCCUUACACACACAACAAGGUACUCUUCCUCUUGAUGAUGUGUUAGUCUGUCCUGGAAUAACAAAGUCUUUGAUAUCGGUUUCAAAACUCACUUCAGACUAUCCAUGUGAAGUUACAUUUGAUUCUGAAACUGUUUUUGUUAAGGACAAGCAAACAAAACAGGUGAUAACUCAAGGCAGAAGGGAUAAGGAUCUGUAUAUGUUGAAGGAUGCAAGAUAUCAAGCUUUUUAUUCUACAAGACAGAGAGCUACAAGUGUGGAGAUUUGGCAUCAAAGGCUAGGCCAUCCUCACAAGGACAUCCUUCAGCAGUUAGCCAGGAGUAACGCUAUCAGUUUGAAUAAAGGGGGGACAUUGGAGCUCUGUGAAGCGUGUCAGAUUGGCAAGAGUUGCAGGCUUCCUUUUCUUCUUUCAGAAACUUUUUCUAAUAGACCUUUAGAGAAGAUACAUUGUGACUUAUGGGGACCUAGUCCAGUUGUUUCUGCUCAAGGAUUUGGAUUACCCGGAAUAGAGCAAGAUAAGGAAGAACAAGAGGUUUCUUGCGUUAGAAGCAACAAGCGUCAACUACAAAGCGAUAACGAGGAAGAAUCUACACUUCCUACGAAGUAAGUAAAGAUUUGAGUUUCAAUCUAUUGUUUCAAAUUAUCUAUGAAUUGUUGUACUAAUGAUGAUUCUUUGCUAAUUUACAGAACUCAAAUCGUUGGUUGGCCUCCGGUGAGAUCUUACCGUAAAAACAACAACAGUGUGAGCUAUGUGAAAGUGAGUAUGGAUGGAGCUCCAUACCUUAGGAAAAUAGAUCUCAAGACAUACAAAAACUAUCCAGAGCUUCUCAAGGCAUUAGAGAACCUGUUCAAGUUCACGAUCGGUGAAUACAGCGAAAGAGAAGGAUACAAAGGAUCUGGAGUUGUACCAACGUACGAGGAUAAAGAUGGAGAUUGGAUGUUGGUUGGUGAUGUUCCAUGGGAUAUGUUCUCUUCCUCUUGUAAGAGACUCAGGAUCAUGAAAGGAUCUGAUGCUCUUGCUUUGGACUCGGCCUUAU
rnacentral:lncRNA from 1 species